rnacentral:lncRNA from 1 species
GGUCCAUCCGAUGAGACGGAUGCUCUGAUGCUCUGAGGCUUCUGGGAGGCUGGGCCCUGGAGGCAACGUGCUGCAGGCGCACUCUGUCAGAGUGAACAGCACCGCGAGACAGGCCAGGCUCGUGGCUCGGAAGACAAACCCCACACACACUCAAGGGGUCGAAAACAAACCCCACACGAGGGCUCUCACCUCCUUCUCCUAGGUAGUAUUUAUUUUCAGCACCUGUUUGAUGCAGUUUUUAAUCCUCUACCUAUUGCACUGUUGUGACUCGUUGGCCAUUAUUUGAUUUUUGUACGAAAAAAAGCUUUGUUAUAGAAAUCAGCAUACUAUUUUUUUAAAUCUGGAGAGAAGAUAUUCUGGUGACUGAAAGUAUGGUCGGGUGUCAGAUAUAAAUGUGCAAAUGCCUUCUUGCUGUCCUGUCGGUCUCAGUACGUUCACUUUAUAGCUGCUGGCAAUAUCGAAGGUUCCUUUUUUGUUUGUGUAAACUCUAAUUUCUAUCAAGGUGUCAUGGAUUUUUAAAAUUAGUAUUUCAUUACAAAUGUCUCAGCAUUGGUUAACUAAUUUUUGCCAGGACCAUUAUUGAUCAAGCAAAUAAAUUCAACAGCCAUUUGGGAAAAAGAAAA